rnacentral:tRNA from 2 species
GCAUUGGUGGUUCAGUGGUAAAAUUCUCCCCUGCCAUGCGGGAGACCCGGGUCCGAUUCCCGGCCAAUGCA